rnacentral:rRNA from 1 species
AUUGAACGCUGGCGGCAGGCCUAACACAUGCAAGUCGAACGAGUGGCGGACGGGUGAGUAAUGUCUGGGAAACUGCCUGAUGGAGGGGGAUAACUACUGGAAACGGUAGCUAAUACCGCAUACCAUCGGAUGUGCCCAGAUGGGAUUAGCUAGUUGGGGGGGUAAAGGCUCACCUAGGCCACGAUCCCUUGCUGGUCUGAGAGGAUGACCAUCCACACUGGAACUGAGACACGGUCCAGACUCCUACGGGAGGCAGCAGUGGGAAAUUUUGCCAAUUGGGCGAAAGCCUGAUGCAGCCAUCCCGCGUGUAUGAAGAAGGCCUUCGGGUUUUAAAGUACUUUCCGCGGGGAGGCGUUACCCGCAGAAUAAGCACCGGCUAACUCCGUGCCAGCAGCCGCGGUAAUAG